CCUGGCUCCAUUCCGAACCCAGAAGCUAAGACUCUUCGCGCCGAUGGUACUGCACUUUUGUGGGUGUGGGAGAGUAGGUCGUUGCCGGUU
rnacentral:rRNA from 1 species